rnacentral:rRNA from 1 species
AGCUUGCUUCCAGGCGUCGAGCGGCGGACGGGUGAGUAAUGCAUAGGAAUCUGCCCGGUAGUGGGGGAUAACCUGGGGAAACCCAGGCUAAUACCGCAUACGUCCUACGGGAGAAAGCAGGGGAUCUUCGGACCUUGCGCUAUCGGAUGAGCCUAUGUCGGAUUAGCUAGUUGGUGAGGUAAUGGCUCACCAAGGCGACGAUCCGUAGCUGGUCUGAGAGGAUGAUCAGCCACAUCGGGACUGAGACACGGCCCGAACUCCUACGGGAGGCAGCAGUGGGGAAUAUUGGACAAUGGGGGCAACCCUGAUCCAGCCAUGCCGCGUGUGUGAAGAAGGCUUUCGGGUUGUAAAGCACUUUCAGUGGGGAAGAAAGCCUUGGGGCUAAUACCCUCGAGGAAGGACAUCACCCACAGAAGAAGCACCGGCUAACUCCGUGCCAGCAGCCGCGGUAAUACGGAGGGUGCGAGCGUUAAUCGGAAUUACUGGGCGUAAAGCGCGCGUAGGUGGCUUGAUAAGCCGGUUGUGAAAGCCCCGGGCUCAACCUGGGAACGGCAUCCGGAACUGUCAGGCUAGAGUGCAGGAGAGGAAGGUAGAAUUCCCGGUGUAGCGGUGAAAUGCGUAGAGAUCGGGAGGAAUACCAGUGGCGAAGGCGGCCUUCUGGACUGACACUGACACUGAGGUGCGAAAGCGUGGGUAGCAAACAGGAUUAGAUACCCUGGUAGUCCACGCCGUAAACGAUGUCGACUAGCCGUUGGGUCCUUCGCGGACUUUGUGGCGCAGUUAACGCGAUAAGUCGACCGCCUGGGGAGUACGGCCGCAAGGUUAAAACUCAAAUGAAUUGACGGGGGCCCGCACAAGCGGUGGAGCAUGUGGUUUAAUUCGAUGCAACGCGAAGAACCUUACCUACCCUUGACAUCGUGCGAACUUUCCAGAGAUGGAU